GGGGCAAAAUCAUAAUUUUACUAAAAUUCUAAUUUAAUAGUAUCAUUUGGUAGAACAAAUGAUUUGUAAUCUAUUGGUGAAAAUUUCAUUAUUUUUGGACUUAUAUUUUUGAAGUUAUGAAGGUUUGAAGUGCAUGAGUCGACUCAUGAGUCAACUCAUGGCACUAUGAGCUGAUUGGCACGCAAAAAUUUCCCUUGGCACGCUAGAUUUUUGGCUUGGCACGACCUGUGAGUCGACUCAUGAGUC
rnacentral:lncRNA from 1 species